AGUAGCUGCACCACUAGAAAGAUGGCGGAGCAAGAGCAAAGAAAAAUCCUUUUGGUUCCAGAAAAUCUCCUGAAAAAUAGGAGGUCUUAUCAAGCCCUCAAAGCCACCCAGGCAAAGCAGGCACUUUUGGCAAAGAAGGAGCAGAGGAAAGGAAAAGGGCUCAGGUUUAAGCGACUGGAAUCAUUCCUACAUGAUUCCUGGCAGGAGAAACGUGACAAGGUGCAUCUCAGACGACUAGAAGCGAAACCUCAUGCCUUGGAAUUGCUAGAUAAACAUUCCUUGGCCUUUGUUGUAUGCAUCAAAAGGAUUGAUGGUGUGAGUUUACUGGUGCAGAGAACCAUUGCAAGACUUCGCCUAAAGAAAAUUUUUAGUGGUGUCUUUGUAAAAAGUCACCCCCUAGAACCUAAAAACGCUACGUAUAGUGGAACCUUAUGUGACCUGAGGAUUUCCAAAUCUGAAGUCUGUCUGGGAACUCAUUUUGAAACACGGACCAGCCAAGGUCAAGAAUAAGACCAUCGGCCAGACCAUCCGUCUGACAGACAACACAGUGAUUGAGGAGGACCUGGGGAAGUUUGGUGUCAUUUGCUUGGAAGACCUCAUUCAUUAAAUUGCCUUCCCAGGGAAGCAUUUCCAGGAGCUCUCAUGGUUCUUGCGUCCUUUCCACCUCUCAGUGGCCCAAGAUGCUACCAAAAAUAGAGUGGGCUUCCUCAAGGAGAUGGGCACACCUGGUUAUCAGGGUGAAUGCAUCAAUCAGCUCAUCUGUCAGCUGAACUAGACUCAGGUGCCAAACUGCGAUAAAUUUUUAUCAGUGAAGUGGAAGCAUGUGUUUUUGUUGUUUUGGGAAUUUUUAUCAAGUACUUCAGAGAUUAUUUCCUGCUUUAUCUUCAAAAACUGAAAAGACACAAAACUCCGUCUCAAAAAAAGAAAAGAAAAGACAGUAGCUUAUGUUCAUGGCAAGCACUUCUCAUCACAGUGCAGUUCCAAGGAAAAAUUCCAGCAUUUUCUACAUUGGGUGCCACGUCAUCUGAAAUCAGCACAUUCCAUGGAGGAAGGAGUCUUGCUCCGUUGCAUCUAUCCUAGGGUUUAAUGUUGAUAAAUGAGUAACUCUAGCAUUUGUAAAAGGCUCCUUAAGGCUCCUGCAGCAGCCGACCAAGCCCAAGGACAUAACUGAAUCUGGAGAGUCCUGGGGCCUUGUUUUGAAAAAGACUUGAAAUACACAUAGGAAGAAAGCCAUAAAAAUAAAUGUUCACUUGUC